rnacentral:rRNA from 1 species
GACGAACGCUGGCGGCGUGCUUAACACAUGCAAGUCGAACGGAAAGGCCCUGCUUUUGUGGGGUGCUCGAGUGGCGAACGGGUGAGUAACACGUGAGUAACCUGCCCUUGACUUUGGGAUAACUUCAGGAAACUGGGGCUAAUACCGGAUAGGUGCUCCUGCUGCAUGGUGGGGGUUGGACAGUUUCGGCGGUUGGGGAUGGACUCGCGGCUUAUCAGCUUGUUGGUGGGGUAGUGGCUUACCAAGGCUUUGACGGGUAGCCGGCCUGAGAGGGUGACCAGCCACAUUGGGACUGAGAUACGGCCCAGACUCCUACGGGAGGCAGCAGUGGGGAAUAUUGCACAAUGGGCGGAAGCCUGAUGCAGCAACGCCGCGUGCGGGAUGACGGCCUUCGGGUUGUAAACCGCUUUCGCCUGUGACGAAGCGUGAGUGACGGUAAUGGGUAAAGAAGCACCGGCUAACUACGUG